GAUGAACGCUGGCGGCGUGCCUAAUACAUGCAAGUCGAGCGAACAGAUGAGGAGCUUGCUCCUCUGACGUUAGCGGCGGACGGGUGAGUAACACGUGGAUAACCUACCUAUAAGACUGGGUUAACUUCGGGAAACCGGAGCUAAUACCGGAUAAUAUAUUGAACCGCAUGGUUCAAUAGUGAAAGACGGUUUUGCUGUCACUUAUAGAUGGAUCCGCGCCGCAUUAGCUAGUUGGUAAGGUAACGGCUUACCAAGGCAACGAUGCGUAGCCGACCUGAGAGGGUGAUCGGCCACACUGGAACUGAGACACGGUCCAGACUCCUACGGGAGGCAGCAGUAGGGAAUCUUCCGCAAAGGGCGAAAGCCUGACGGAGCAACGCCGCGUGAGUGAUGAAGGUCUUCGGAUCGUAAAACUCUGUUAUUAGGGAAGAACAAAUGUGUAAGUAACUAUGCACGUCUUGACGGUACCUAAUCAGAAAGCCACGGCUAACUACGUG
rnacentral:rRNA from 1 species